CAUCUUCAACACCUGUGAAAAAAUAAAUGUCACCAUUUUUUCCUGGUAUGUAUACAAUUUGAUUUCCUUGCUGUGUAUGGGUAUGUAUGUGUGUGCAUGGACUUGUAAGUGUAUUUGGGUCUCAUCUGUGUGGAAUUUAAUUUGGUGUCUGGCACGAAGGGAGGAAUUUCUUUUGCCAAAAGAGCUGACCAGUUGUCUCAAUGGGAUUUGUUGAAUAAUCAUUCCUUUCUAAAUGAUUUAAGGUGUUUAUUUUCACUAAUUUAAAAAAGCAAUGCUAUUAUAGCUUCAUCAGGGCUCUGGUGGUGCAGUAGUUAAGAGCUACAGCUGCUAACCAAAAGGUUGACAGUUGGAAUCCACCAGCCACUCCUUGGAAACCCUAUGGGGCAGCUCUCUCUCCUAUAGGGUUGCCACGAGUCGGAGUCGACUCAAUGGCAAUGGGUUUGGUUUUGGGUUUGGUUAUUAUAGCUUCAUCUUGCAGUGGGCCAGAUCCUUAUUCAUCAUUCUAGUCCUUAAAAUACCAAUUAUCAUGGAAUCAACCCUGACUCCUGGCGACUCCAUGUGUGUCAGAGUAGAACUGUGCUCCAUAGGUUUUCAAUGGCUGACUUUUUGGAAGUAAUCUCCAGACAUCUCUUCUAAGACACCUCUGGGUGGACGUGAACCUCCAACUUUUCUGGGUAUACUCGAGCUUCCAAACUGGGUGUACUUGUUAGCCAUUUGUGCCAUUCAAGGACUUCAUUCUAUGCCUUUGGGAGAAAAUUUUAGGGAGCAGAGCACCUUCUUCUGCUUUGGUCUUUCCACUCAUUCUCCCCUGGCUCAGCCUUCUGGGUGCCUCUAUUCAACAGCAGUUAAGCUUUGCCAAGGCCAACCUCUGAGGCAUCCAGUGAAGGUUGGAGGCAAGAUCUGAAACUGGUAAAGGCACAAUGCAUUUGCAUGAAAACCGACCAGGCUAAUUUAGCCAUGCUUACAAGUAUGUCUUUCUGGAUUUAUCAGAGCAGAGCUUUAGUUUGUCUGGCAUUAGACCUAAAAACACACAGUUGCGAACAGAUGACCACCAAGAAGUUAAGUGCUGAGAGACAGAUGAUCUGUGGUCAUUCCUAGUGUUCAAGAGACCUGAGUCUCUAUGGUAAUGACUCUUCUUUUACACAACAAAGUACAGUUGUACAAAGGGGGGAAUGCCAGUCUUAACUAACUAAGCCAAUAGUCAACAAGAUGUUUCCCUUACAGGAAGCCACUAGCCACGUCCUCAGAAAGGUGGGUGGAAACAGACAUCUCUUUAAAUUCUCUUUCUUUCUUUCUUUCUCUCAUUAGUUUUUACAAGUUGGUCCAUGGAAAAAUUCGAGUAACAGAAUUUAACGCCUCAAGUUACGAAGCUUUGUCAAUAUUAAUUUGUUGCACCUUCCACAAAUCAAUAUUGGAAACAGAAACAAGUGAUUCUUUUUAUAUUUCAAGAAGCAGAAACAAUGGAAGUAAAAGUGUCUUGCUGCUUCAGGAGAACAUCAUAAUUAUUUAUAUCAAAGUGCUGCAAGAUUGAAAUGAAAGUGUUUUAAGAGCGCCCUCCCUCCUUGCCUAAAAAGCAUUUAUCACCCUUGAGGAAAGCCCCCAGUGAGGUGCAUUGGCACAAUAGCCUCAACAAUGGGCCCAGAUAUAUGAAAGAUCAUGGAGAUGGUGCAGCUCCAGGCAAUGUUUUGUUCUGUUAUACAUAAGAUUUAGAAGGCAGCUGUCUCAACUACCAGAUCGUAGGCCUCCCCGCGCUUCUCUUCUCCCUGCCAAGCAAGUGGUAAGUGUGUGUUCCUUAUUCCUUCCAAUGAAGGAGUGUUUCUUAACCUGGGGCAAUUUUGCCCCCCAGGGAACAUCUGGUAAUGUCUGGAGACAUUUUUGGUUGUCACAACUGGGUGAGUUACUGCAUUGAGUGGCUAGGGGACAGGAAUGCUGCAACAUCCUACAGUGCCCAGGACAGGCCCCAUAACAAAGACUUAAAUCUGAUCCAAAAUGUCAAUAGUGCCAAAGUUGAGAAAUCUUGAUCUAAAUGAUGAGAUGUGGAGGUCUCAUUGGUCAAAGAAAGGUGUUAUACAGAAGCCUCAGUUAAAGGAAAAUUAGAAACUACAAGUUGGUUCUGCUGAAACCACGGCAAGAUAGCGAGGAGGUUAAGCAUAUGGGCUUUAGAGACAACGACCUGAGCUCUCCAUCUGGAUUCUGCCACAUAGUAGCAGAGUGUCCUUGGCAAGUUCCUUAGCUUCUCUGUACCUCAAGUUACUUGUCUGUAAAAUGAGGAGGAUGAUAAUAGUACCUACUUCCUAGAGCUGCUAUAAGCAUCAUAUGGGUUAAUACAUGUGUAGGGCUUAGACCAAUGUUUAGAAUCAAUAAAACCAAAUGAAGCCAGUUGCUGUCCAGCCAGUUCCGACUCCUAGAGACCCCAUGUGUGUAAGAGUAGAACUAUGAUCCACAGGGUUUUCACUGGUUGAUUUUUCAGAAGUAGAUCUCGGGCCUUUCUUUUGAGGCACCUCUGGGUGGAUUUGAACCAUCAAUCUUUCAGCUAGUAUCCAAGCAUUUAACUGCUUCUGCCACCCAGGGACAUCUUGGCACUCAAUAAGUAUUUGUUACUAAUAUGAUGCUUUAAGGCCUUGUGAUCAGCAGAGUUUUAAGCUGGCCCCAAGAUUCCUGCCUCUGGUGUAUAACCCUUGUAUAAUUCCCUCCCUGUGGUUGUGGGCAGAACCUGCAAACCAGAGAGCACUCUCGUGAUGAGGUUACUCAUCAGUUGACUUUGAGUUCAUUAAAAGAGAGAUUUAUCCAGGUAGGUCUGACCAGGAGCUGUUUAAAUCUUUGUCUAGAAGCCAGAGACAGAUGUCAGAGAAAUUCAAAGCAUGAAGGGGCUUAUGGAGGGCCCUAUGAAGGGGACCAGAAGCCCUGGUGGCCUAGUGGUUGAAAGCUAUGGUUACUAACCAAAAGGUCAGCAGUUUGAAUCCACCAGGCACUCCUUGGAAACGCUAUGCGGCAGUUCUACUCUGUCCUAUAGGGUCGCUAUAAGUUGGAAUUGACUCGACAGCAACGGGUUUGAGUUCUUGAUUUUUAUGGAGGGGACCACAUGGCAAGGAACUGCAGGCUACCUGUGUUAGCUGAGAGUGGCCCGUACAGACAAGCAGCAAGAGAGCAGGCCCUCAGUCCUACAGCCCUAAGGAACUGAAUUCUGCCAUCAACCAUGUGAGCUGGAAAGAGGACCCUAAGCUCCAGAAAGGAGCAGAUCCCAGCCCACACCUUCCCUUCAGCUUUGCAAGACCCUGAGUAGAGGGCCCAGCUCUGUUGUGCCUGGACUUCUGACCUACAGAAACUGUGAGAUAAUAAAUGAUUGUUCUUUAAAGCCACUAAGUUUGUGGUAACAUGUUACGAGGAUUAGGAAACAAAUACAGGCUUCAAAAAAAGGUGAUAUUUCAAUCUCAUGUGACCAACUAAGUAUCACAGUGGGAAGACCUGACCCAGAGUGUCAACUCAGUCACAUCCUAGCUGCAGGAACCACCUGAAAUCCUUUUUGGAGCCAGAAAAAAAUCAAUAAAUACAUUCAACAAACUAACUGGGUGUGAGACUGGGCAAGUCCCCUUAGCUCAUGUUCCUGUUGGUAAAAUUCAUAAAUUGAACCAGGUAGUUACUAAGCUGCUCUGUUUCCUCUAAUUCUGAACUAUCUCAGGAUGCCAAACAGUGAGUACAGAAUGAAUACAGUAGUUUUGUAACAGAGACUAUUUCAAACCUGAGCAAACCGGACUGAACAUUUCGGCUCCCCUUUGAUAUACACACUUUGGGUGUUCCUGAGAAUGUAGACAGGGAUUCAUGUUAGGCAAACCUCCAAACAUUUAGUGGGUUUGGCUCAGAAAUGCCUUAUUUAUAGAUACCUUUUUCUCUUAGAAGUUUAAAUCACUUGAAACACAUGUAAUUAAUCUUUGAUUCAUCCUUAAAGAAUAAAGAGGGGCUUUACCUGAGGGUUCUGGAAGAAUAUUGACGUGUCCGUGAACACAUACGUUCUCAGGGACUAGUCAACUCACAGCUGAAGGGGGCCUCAGUUAAAAGAACUUUGGCUUCAGUGGACCUAUGGAUGUGCUCAAGAGCAUGUUAAAAUGAAGAUCCCCAGAUCACCACCAUUCUCUUACAGACAACCUGAUUCAGAAGGUGCUGGGGCGGGCCUCGGGAAUUUGCAUUUUUCGCAAGCACCUGUGAAAAUUCUGAAUGCAGGUGGUCUGUGGGCUAAACUCUGAAAAACUCAAGGCUUGAAGGAAGCUUUGCAAAUAGCUAUUUGCAGAUUACGUUGAGUAUUGGGAAGGAAGUUUCCAUCAGGAAGAAAAAUCCAACUGAGAUGACUGAAGGAAGAAUUUUUUUUUUUAAUUAUACUUUAGUUGAAGGUUUACAGAACAAACUAGCUUCUCACUAAACAAUUAGUAUGCAUAUUGUUUUGUGACCUUGGUUGACAACCCCACGAACCCCACAACAUGUCAACAUUCUCUCUUUUCAACCUUGGGUUCCCUCUUACCAGCUUUCCCGUCCCCUCCUGCCUUCUAGUCCUUGCCCCUGGGCUGGUGUGCCCCUUUAUUCUUGUUUUGUUUUAUGGGUCUUUCUAAUCUUCGGCUGAACAGUGAGCCUUAGGAUUGACUUCUUUGCUGAGCUAAAGAGGUGUCUGGUACCAUACUGUUAGGGUUUCUCUAGUCUCUGUCAGGCCAGUAAGUUUGGUCUUUUUUUGUCAGUUAGAAUUUUGUUCUACAUUUUUCUCCAGCCCUGUCAGGAACCCUCUAUUGCGAUCCCUGUCAGAGCAGUCCAUGGUGGUAGCUGGGUACCUUCUAUUUGUGCUAGACUCUGUCUGGUGGAGACUGUGGCAGUUGUGGUCUGUUAGUCCUUUGGACUAAUCUUUCUGAAGGAAGAAUGUUUAUGAUGAAAUUGGAGGAGUAUGAGCAGGUUUAACGGAGACAGUAGGAGAUGUUCAGGCACAGGAGGCUGGCAAAAGCCAGAACCCAUCACCAUUCAUAGGCUCGAAGGAGCAAGGGGUUGUGGUAAUGUUAUUAAACCCAUUCUGAGGUGGGGGUGGUGAGGACUGCCCCCAGGAGAGGCCGUAGUCAAAGGAGAAAAUCAGCAAAUGUCAGAGACUGUACAUGAAAGCAGAGAGGGAGGCGGAAGAAACACUUGGACCUCUCUCUUCUCCCACCUUUGUUUCUCCUACUCGUACCUUCCAACUGAAUGCCAUUUGGCAAGACAGCCAUCUAGCAUUUCCCAAAAGUCAGCUUCUGGAGGCAAAGAAUAGGGCAGAGAAGGCAGUAAAUGGAUGGGAGUUGGUGGGGGGCAGUAAAUAAUGGAGAAUAAUCAGCAUGUUUUAAAUCUCUAGACCAAAAAUCACCAACAUGAGGAAUUGCUGGGCAAUUAAAAUAAUGAGUAGAUCAAAAGGGAAGCAAUAAUAACCACUAUCAAGGGGGGCUCUUAUAUGAGACACCCCAGAAGGCCAGGAGCCUUGGAAUCAGGAUGCGAUUUUGAGGUGGGUGAGAAGGAAGGUGGUAAAAGGCAGGGCUCUGGCCCUUGUUUAACUCACAGAUCAAUCUUUUGAAGUCAGCUUUGAAAAUGAUGGGAAUGACAUCUGAAUGUGCUGCAGCACCCUUCCAAAGACAUUCAGACAAGUUGCACCCACUGUCCCGAGCACCAGUCCAAUGUCCAAGGGAGCUGGAGGGAAAAUAGCAGGAACCCAGCAUUUCUGCGAACAGCGUUGCCAAAGCUCACUGCUGCCCUCUGGGCAAAGCAAAUCAAUGUAACUAACACUCAGAGCACUCAUCAUAAACUGCCUUGUCAUUACUAAUCAUGAAAAAUCUAUUUUCUGCACUAAGUUAUGACCACCAUUAAGAGAAUGACUUUUUUUUUUAAGAAAAUUUUUGUGUGUAGCUAAGCCACAUAAUUCAAUUCAGAUGUACAGAGAAAAGGGAAUUUCUUUAUUUUAUCUUUAUUUUGUGUUGGCCCUCUUCCUAAGUCCCCACCCAUCUGUGGGGAAAAAGCUAAGUAGAAGAAUUUGGUUUAAAGUUUAAAAUGUCCAAUCUGGCUUAGAGUCCCAGUAAUUUAAUAACCCCUUAGGCUGUGUGAGGUCACUAUUGGACAAAGUUGCUCAUUCUCUCAGUUAUCCUGGUCUCUCCGCUGUGUCUCAACCUCAGAUGGUAUCUGGAUGUAGGUCUAGGGAGGAGUGUGGCUUACUGGUUCCCUGAUAUAUUGGUGGGAGAUGGACAGGCCCCUGGCCUCAAGAGAGUUCAUGAGCUACACUGGUGGGCAUCUGUGCAUCUCCAGUGGGGUGCCCCUUGUCCCUGUCACUGAAUACUCUAAUGGCCCUCAGGACCGAACUCUGCAGCCGGCGAACUCAUGGUGAACGCAUGGUUUAAUCUUCUGACAUCACCACUGUUCAAAAGAAUUUGCCGUUUGUUUUCUGCUCACUAUUUCUGUCCAACUGUAAUCAUCUGUAUACUCCUGGGUCUGCUAUGUUUUCUCUCCAGCUCCUAGGUCUCACUAUCCACUGAAGCCUCUGCUGUGGGGCCACCUUGCUUUGUCCCAGUAGACCCUGAGCAAAGUCCUCUGGCUUUCAACUCAGCAUCUUAUGGGGAGAAGAGAACCAAGGGAGGGUCCAGACUGCCAGUUAGACUGUUCCUCUGUCCGUGUCCACUCAAGUACCUAGACAGCAUGUUGAUGUGGGCCCUUCUGUUUGUAAUCUUCUCCCUAAGGUCCAAAUGGGCAUGUUGGGCAGUCCCUCCCCCAGUGAUUUCCUCAGUUUGUCUAAUACAUGUAUUCCCACUCUAGGCCAAAAGCCAGGAGGGGGCAAAGGGGACACUCAUCUCACCAUCUUGCCUUCCCCAUUCACUUUCCUUCUUUUCUUCUCUUUUCUACUUUCCUGGGUCUGAAAGAAACCAUUCUUAUUUCCCUAUCCCCUGUACUCCACACACACACAUACACCCUGGUCUCCUCUUACCCACUUCCUGCUCUUGAAGUACCUUAUGUACAACUCAGUGAUCUAAUUGAUCAGGUAGGCUCAUUGAGAAGAUAAAAGGAAAGAUAAAGCCAUACCCAUUGCCACCCAGUCAAUGCUGACUCACGGUGAACCCAUAUGUUACAGAGUAGAAUUGAUUGCCAUUAGGUUUUCUUAGCUGUAAUCUUUUCAGAAGCAGAUCAUUGGGCCUUUCUUCUGUGGUGCUGUUCGAACCAUCAACCUUUUGGUUAGCAGCUGAGUCCAAACCAUUUGUGCUACCCAGGGUCCUGAUAAAGAUGGGAGGCAAGGUAUUUGGUGUAGUGGUUAAGAGCUUGGCUGUUAACCCAAAGAUCAGCAGUUCAAAUCCACCAGCCACUCCUUAGAAACCCUAUGGAGCAGUUCUACUCUGUCCUAUAGGGUCUCUAUGAGUCAAAAUAGACUCAACAGCAACGGGUACAGGUAUGGGUAAUACCUUUACAUUAGUCUCAAGGUAAGACUAAUGUUAUGCUGCAAAGUCCUAUUAUGGAAUGCCAGAAGGUGAUUAUCAAUUUCUUCCUCUUUGAAUUCCAUAUCGCACAGUCUCCCUAAUUCCCAGCCGCUUCCUGCCCUCAUGCCCGUCCUCAGCUCUAGAUAGAUAUUCCAGGCCAGUGAAGGAAAAUUCACGUACUGGCAAGGCAAAAAGAGCCAAGUUCAUUUGUAACGUGUUGCCCUCAUUUUCCCUGAAAACCUUGUAGAGCCAAACUCUGUACUUUGAAUGUGCUAGGUGCUCAGCAUGAGGUUGAACCGAGUCAGAAGCAGUCAAAUAAGAACUGUGAUGUGGUUGCCACACCUCUGGACUACAAGCAUGGAUUUGUAUCUUUUUUCCCUUCCUUCUUCCUUCUUCAGCUGUCACACCUUGGUGAUCCUAUAGCCAAAUAUUCCUUAAGAAAAAAAAAAAAAGCCCACAAAUACAUAAUCAUCUUGGUAACACC